UACGUAGGUGGCAAGCGUUAUCCGGAAUUACUGGGCGUAAAGCGCACGCAGGCGGUUGGGUAAGUUUGACGUGAAAGCUCUCGGCUUAACUGGGAGAGGUCGUUGAAGACUGCUCGACUUGAGUUUAGGAGAGGGGUGUAGAAUUCCCGGUGUAGUGGUGGAAUGCGUAGAUAUCGGGGGGAAUACCAGUGGCGAAAGCGGCACCCUAGCCUUAGACUGACGCUCAUGUGCGAAAGCGUGGGGAGCGAACGGG
rnacentral:rRNA from 1 species